GCCGGCAGAAGUAAACAGAGCGAGUACGCCUGCGCACGCUCUUCCUGGGUCACGAGCCGGCUCGGUUCUGGGCCUCUGAGGCUCCCCACCGCGGUCGGGUUGCUCUGGGAGACUGUCUACAAACCGACGAGAGGCGUCAACCUUUUACCCUAGGGGGCGGAUUUGGGUAGGAGCCGAGCGUUCGGUCGGAAACGCCCCCUUCUUCCUCCUGGGCGGGGCAAGUGAGGCCAAGUACUGGGCCUCCAGGGCGUCGUACCUCUGUGAGACAUGGCUCGCUGUGGGGAAGGCAGUGCGGCCCCCAUGGUACUUCUGGGGUCCGCUGGAGUUUGCAGUAAGGGGUUGCAAAGGAAGGGGCCGUGUGAGCGGCGCCGGCUGAAGGCGACGGUGUCGGAGCAGCUCAGCCAGGAUUUGCUCAGGCUUCUAAGGGAAGAAUUCCAUACAGAUGUCACCUUCUCUGUGGGUUGUACUUUGUUCAAAGCACACAAAGCAGUCCUUUUAGCAAGAGUUCCUGACUUCUAUUUUCAUACUAUUGGACAGACAUCAAAUAGUUUAACAAAUCAGGAGCCUAUUGCUGUGGAGAAUGUUGAAGCUUUAGAAUUUAGAACAUUUUUACAGAUUAUAUAUUCAUCAAACAGAAACAUAAAAAACUAUGAAGAGGAAAUUCUUAGGAAAAAGAUAAUGGAGAUUGGGAUAUCACAAAAGCAACUUGACAUCAGUUUUCCAAAGUGUGAAAACUCAUCUGAUUGUUCUCUUCAGAAGCAUGAAAUUCCAGAGGAUAUCAGUGACAGAGAUGAUGAUUUCAUUUCCAAUGAUAAUUAUGACUUGGAGCCUGCAUCUGAAUUAGGAGAAGAUUUAUUGAAGCUUUAUGUGAAACCUUGUUGCCCAGAUAUUGAUAUUUUUGUUGAUGGAAAACGUUUUAAAGCUCACAGGGCCAUUUUGAGUGCCAGAUCUAGUUAUUUUGCUGCAAUGCUGAGUGGCUGUUGGGCUGAAAGCUCCCAAGAGUAUGUUACUCUUCAAGGUAUAAGCCAUGUAGAACUGAAUGUUAUGAUGCAUUUUAUAUAUGGAGGAACUCUGGACAUUCCAGACAAAACUAAUGUUGGGUAUGUAUUCCUUUUUAAUAAUUUAAAAUGUAAAAGAGUUAGGUUCUGCUUUGUUGAGCUGUGUCGCAAAGUGUUAAUUAAGUAGAAACUUUGCUUUUUAUAAUUUAUUUUACUAUAUCUUCAGUAUGUUUUGAGAACAUCUAAAAACAAUAAGCAAAUCACCUUAUUUAGAAGAAAAGGUGACUUAUCAACUCACAGUAAUAAGAUUGAGAACAGUCUUUAUUAGACUUAAAUUUAGAAGAAGCUAUAAAUUAUGGUUUAUAGAUCAAUAAAUUGAUUAAACUUUUAUCAAACUUUGAAAAUUACUACUUUUUAAAUUUUAGGAUAUCUUUUCUAAACAGCAAAAGAAAAGAAAAAACAUAUUUAAGAAUGUAGCAGCCGGGCACAAUGGCUCUCGCACUUUGGGAGGCUGAGGCGGGCAGAUCACAAGGUCAAGAGAUCAAGACCAUCCUGGCUAACAUGGUGAAACCUCGUCUCUACUUAA
rnacentral:sRNA from 1 species